ACGGGUGAGUAAUACAUCGGAACGUGCCCGAUCGUGGGGGAUAACGGAGCGAAAGCUUUGCUAAUACCGCAUACGAUCUACGGAUGAAAGCAGGGGACCGCAAGGCCUUGCGCGGACGGAGCGGCCGAUGGCAGAUUAGGUAGUUGGUGGGAUAAAAGCUUACCAAGCCGACGAUCUGUAGCUGGUCUGAGAGGACGACCAGCCACACUGGGACUGAGACACGGCCCAGACUCCUACGGGAGGCAGCAGUGGGGAAUUUUGGACAAUGGGCGAAAGCCUGAUCCAGCCAUGCCGCGUGCAGGAUGAAGGCCUUCGGGUUGUAAACUGCUUUUGUACGGAACGAAAAGCCUCUUUCUAAUAAAGAGAGGUCAUGACGGUACCGUAAGAGUAAGCACCGGCUAACUACGUGCCAGCAGCCGCGGUAAUACGUAGGGUGCGAGCGUUAAUCGGAAUUACUGGGCGUAAAGCGUGCGCAGGCGGUGAUGUAAGACAGAUGUGAAAUCCCCGGGCUCAACCUGGGAACUGCAUUUGUGACUGCAUCGCUGGAGUGCGGCAGAGGGGGAUGGAAUUCCGCGUGUAGCAGUG
rnacentral:rRNA from 1 species